AUUGAACGCUGGCGGCAUGCCUUACACAUGCAAGUCGAACGGCAGCACGGGAGCAAUCCUGGUGGCGAGUGGCGAACGGGUGAGUAAUAUAUCGGAACGUGCCCAGUCGUGGGGGAUAACGUAGCGAAAGCUACGCUAAUACCGCAUACGAUCUAUGGACGAAAGCGGGGGAUCGCAAGACCUCGCGCGAUUGGAGCGGCCGAUAUCAGGUUAGGUAGUUGGUGAGGUAAAGGCUCACCAAGCCGACGAUCUGUAGCUGGUCUGAGAGGACGACCAGCCACACUGGGACGAAGACACAGCCCAGACUCCUACGGGAGGCAGCAGUGGGGAAUUUUGCACAAUGGGCGCAAGCCUGAUCCAGCAAUGCCUCGUGCAGGAUGAAGGCCUUCUGGUUGUCAACUGCUUUUGUACGGAACGAAACGGUGAGCUCUAAUACAGUUUGCUAAUGACGGUACCGUAAGAAUAAGCACCGGCUAACUACGUGCCAGCCGCCGCAGUAA
rnacentral:rRNA from 1 species